GACGAACGCUGGCGGCGUGCCUAAUACAUGCAAGUAGAACGCUGAAGGAGGAGCUUGCUUCUCCGGAUGAGUUGCGAACGGGUGAGUAACGCGUAGGUAACCUGCCUGGUAGCGGGGGAUAACUAUUGGAAACGAUAGCUAAUACCGCAUAAUAGUAGAUGUUGCAUGACAUUUGCUUAAAAGGUGCAAUUGCAUCACUACCAGAUGGACCUGCGUUGUAUUAGCUAGUUGGUGGGGUAACGGCUCACCAAGGCGACGAUACAUAGCCGACCUGAGAGGGUGAUCGGCCACACUGGGACUGAGACACGGCCCAGACUCCUACGGGAGGCAGCAGUAGGGAAUCUUCGGCAAUGGACGGAAGUCUGACCGAGCAACGCCGCGUGAGUGAAGAAGGUUUUCGGACCGUAAAGCUCUGUUGUAAGAGAAGAACGAGUGUGAGAGUGGAAAGUUCUCACUGUGACGGUAUCUUACCAGAAAGGGACGGCUAACUACGUGCCAGCAGCCGCGGUAAUACGUAGGUCCCGAGCGUUGUCCGGAUUUAUUGGGCGUAAAGCGAGCGCAGGCGGUUAGAUAAGUCUGAAGUUAAAGGCUGUGGCUUAACCAUAGUACGCUUUGGAAACUGUUUAACUUGAGUGCAAGAGGGGAGAGUGGAAUUCCAUGUGUAGCGGUGAAAUGCGUAGAUAUAUGGAGGAACACCGGUGGCGAAAGCGGCUCUCUGGCUUGUAACUGACGCUGAGGCUCGAAAGCGUGGGGAGCAAACAGG
rnacentral:rRNA from 1 species